AUUAGAGAGUGCGAGGCUCAGUCGUGGUCAUCUGCUGCGCGCUGGGCCGACCCUCCCACCCGUGUCGAUUUGUAUCUUGUUGCUUUGGCGGGCCGGGCUGCGUCGUCGCUGUCCGCCUGGACACGCGUCGGCCGCCCACCGGUUUCGACUGGAGCGCGCCCGCCAAAGACCCAACCAAAAAACUCAUGUUGUCUGUGUCGUCUUAGCUUUAUAAUGAAAAUUGAUAAAACUUUCAACAACGGAUCUCUUGGCUCUGGCAUCGAUGAAGAACGCAGCGAAAUGCGAUAAGUAAUGUGAAUUGCAGAAUUUAGUGAAUCAUCGAAUCUUUGAACGCACAUUGCGCCCCUUGGUAUUCCGAGGGGCAUGCCUGUUCGAGCGUCAUAACACCCCCUCCAGCUGCCGUUGUGUGGCUGCGGUGUUGGGGCUCGUCGCGAUGCGGCGGCCCUUAAAGACAGUGGCGGUCCCGGCGUGGGCUCUACGCGUAGUAACUUGCUUCUCGCGACAGAGUGACGCCUGGUGGCUUGCCAGAACAACCCCUAUUGGUCCAGUCACAUGGAUCACAGGUUGACCUCGAAUCAGGUAGGAAUACCCGCUGAACUUAACAUUAUCAUAUGAAUAAC
rnacentral:rRNA from 1 species